rnacentral:lncRNA from 7 species
UGGCAAAGCAAGAGAUGAUGUGUUACAAGGCAGUAACCUGUCUGCACUGGUUUUGUGUGAUGUUGCUUGCAAAUCGGAGCUGCCAAGUUCUACUUCAUGUAUAUCUGUAUCUGCUGAAAGCAGGAGGAGUCCUGUGAUUACAGUGCAGCAAGGCCCAUGCAAGACCAUAGGAGAACUGGCUGGAGAGGAAAUAAGGGAGCAGUAAUGCAAAUGGGUUUACUGGGGAAGAGGAGUGGAUUCUGGGGACUGCAACAGAAACAAUUGUGCUGCUGGACUGACUACAGUUGUGCUGGAGAGCUGUUCUGAAUGAGCGUAGACAAUCAAAUGCUUCAUCAAAGCUGAAGUCCAGCUCCUAGGUGGAGGUCACAGUCAUCUUUGGAAGGUGUAACUCUCAGAUUUCCAAGUUUGGACCAUGUGGGCUAAACUCGAAGAAAUUCAGAAAGUCUGAGAAGAGUCUUCAGCCUCUGAAGCUGUUCUAUGUGUAUGUGCCACCACGUGCUCAGUUUUCAAUGGAUGCAAUGGAUGUAAGUCAUGACUCAUUGACACAAACCAGUAAUUUGCAUGCCAAAUUGAAAAACAGUGCCUGAAGACAAAUGCAUAGAGAACUGACCUCAGCCUAGAGAUCUGAUAAAGUAUGCUUAAAAAAACCCACACGUAUUCUUAGAAUCUCCCUGGAUUUUUGUGCUGCUGUUUCUGAGAUAGGUGGCUCCAGAUGACAGUUGGGUUACUGCUUUGCAAGACGUGUACUUCCAGUCUUACUGAAAUCCCAUUUCCCUAGAUAGUCUGUUUGUUCUGUUAUUUACAUUGCUGAUAACUGGUGAAUAGGCUUAAAACAGAAAAGCUGGUUUUGUAUCGAAUUAGGGCUUAAAAAAAUGCAGAUGUGAAGGAGGAGAUGAUACAAAACAUACAAUUUCUGAGGCCUUGGUGCAAAACUUGGAAUGUUUUCUUUUAAAUAUCUUUCAUUUUCCAGGAUCCGAAUGAGGAGCAGUCUCCUCUAGAAUGACUACAUAUCUGGAAUUGUUUUGAAUUCUUUGACUGACUUUAACAGCUUCUUUGGAAUAAUGUUAAUGUAAGCUACUUUUAUGGUAAUCUUGGGUGAGUUAAAACCUGUAAUGCCAUCUGCCUUGAUGGUUGAAUGGUGAAAUACAUACUCUCUUAAUGUUAUUAAAAGUCCACAGACUCAAGUCUGGUGAGACCAGAAUGGUAUGGAUUCCAACAACAACAACAACAAAGUGCUUUUCUUCAUUCUGUGUAUACCUUGGUGAGAUGGAAAGAAACUGACAUCUUUGCUCUUCCUCUGUGUUGUGUGGGGAUGUGGAGUAGAUUUGUGUAGGAAUUGACUCCUCCAAGGACUACAUGUUUUCUUUUUCUUUUGCUCAGCUUGGAUCUUCAGCUGCUUUUGCCUGUGGACUGGUCACACAUACCUUAAGGAGCUGCCUUUGUUGGCCUUGAAUUUUUAAACCCCCUGGUUUUCCUUAAAAUGUUAAGGGUUAUAGCGUAGCAGUAGGGCCCAGGGUGUAGAAGGGAGCAAAACGUUUCAGAGCAGGAGAGCUGGAGACUGUAGGCAUAGGAAAGAGCUGGAGUAUAGAGUAUUAGAGAAGGGGUGGCACUGAUAGCAGAGAGACCCUACUGUAAAGGUAGAUAUGGCUAAUAACACGUAGAGUACAAGGAAGGAUAAUAAAUCUGACAUCCUCAGCUUGUCUUUUUUUAAUGACAGUUUAAGCAUGGAAAACAGUAUAUUUUUUUAUGCCAAAGGAGCAAAAAACUGGUCACUUCACAGGUGAGGCAGUAACUGUGAGCUGCCCUGUAGGAUCUGUUGGAAGAAAGCCGGAGAAAUGACAAAAGCAAGGAAGCGGCAUGGGAAUGAUGAGCAGGUCAGCACACUGGAGAAGCAAAAUGAGGACAGUAGACGGGAAGGUAGAAGAAACAGUGAAAGAGGAGGCUGCAGCUGAAAAGGGGGGAAUUGUAAAAGGACACAGAAUUGUGGAGGAAAGAUAGACAGAAACAUGAAAUAAUGAAAGACUGCAGGUAAGCAACUUGUUCUCUGUGCCAAUCCUUCCUCUCUUCCUCCUGGACACGGCAGAACAAAACAUACUAGCAUGCAGUGGAGCACAGCAAUGAAAAAAUACACGCAAAAG